rnacentral:tRNA from 1 species
CAAAGCAUAGCUUAAUCACAAAGCAUCUAGCUUACACCUAGAAGAUUUCAUACAAAUAUGACUGCUUUGAG